rnacentral:rRNA from 1 species
GACGAACGCUGGCGGCGUGCUUAACACAUGCAAGUCGAACGGAAAGGCCCUGCUUUUGUGGGGUGCUCGAGUGGCGAACGGGUGAGUAACACGUGAGUAACCUGCCCUUGACUUUGGGAUAACUUCAGGAAACUGGGGCUAAUACCGGAUAGGAGCUCCUGCUGCAUGGUGAGGGUUGGAAAGUUUCGGCGGUUGGGGAUGGACUCGCGGCUUAUCAGCUUGUUGGUGGGGUAGUGGCUUACCAAGGCUUUGACGGGUAGCCGGCCUGAGAGGGUGACCGGGCACAAUGGGACUGAGGUACGGGCCAGACCCCUACGGGAGGCAGCAGUGGGGAAUAUUGCACAAUGGGCGGAAGCCUGAUGCAGCAACGCCGCGUGCGGGAUGACGGCCUUCGGGUUGUAAACCGCUUUCGCCUGUGACGAAGCGUGAGUGACGGUAAUGGGUAAAGAAGCACCGGCUAACUACGUG